UUGCAAACCAGAUCACUGGCUCUGCAUCCCAUUGCAGAAGCGAGGGGAACACGUUUGCUAAAGUGAACUGCUGUGAGAAUGGAUUAUGCAACGGAAGACAGUUUCUUUGCUUGUCAUUUCUUCACAACAGACAGUC